rnacentral:lncRNA from 1 species
CGGAAGGAGGCGUGCCCUCGAGGGCGGGGCGCUCCCGGGGACCUGGGGCUGCUGCUCCCCGAGCCGUGCUUUGCAGAGGCAAGCGUCUAUGAUUUAAAUGCUAGCUUUGCCGCUUACUGGCUGAAAGACUUUAAAUGACAAUAACAAAAAAUGAAGAGGAUGAUGAUGAUGAUACAAGAUACCAUUGCCCGUGUGUACCAGACAUCAUGCUAAGGAGCCGCCGAGGAGAGGGCAAAACAGAACGAGGAUGCACACAUCAAAAGAGACCCCAGGAGUAUGAUUGAAAGGACGUGAAGAAGAGAAAGUGGCUGCCCUCCAGGAGGAUGGAUUGGGCCACCAGACUUACC